rnacentral:lncRNA from 1 species
UGUCACAUGUUUCCUGUUUGCCUGACCCACUUCCUGGUCAGUGUCACAUGCUUCCUGUGUGCCUGACCCACUUCCUGGUCAGUGUCACAUGUUUCAUGUUUGCCUGACACACUUCCUGGUCAGUGUCACAUGCUUCCUGUCCUGUCAGUGUGUGUGUGUGUGUGUGUGUGUGUGGCAGUGUGUCUAUCAGAGGACAGCAGUGUGUCUCCUCUCUCAGAUCAUCACGCGCCCCUCGGCAGCCAAUAAGAACUUCCCGUAUCACGUUCGGACGUCCCAGAUCGGGAUCAUGAGCAGCCCAGGCGAGGCCUUCCCCCACCAUGCCUACGGCAACGUCAGCUUCAUCGGCGACUCCGUGCCCAACUUCACCGAGCUGUUCUCCAUCAACACCGCGGCGCCCCCACUGGCCACGGCUGAGAAGCUGGAGGAGACGGUGGCCCAGAAGGGACAGUCUUCCUGCAGGGACGGCAAGGUCAUCACCACGACGACGGCCGAGCUCAGCUCUGUCCUGCCCCCACCCCCGUUGCCCCCCCUGUUGUCCCCCAUGACACCCCCUGCCCCCCAACGUCACGGUGCCCCCUUUACAGAGUACUUCAGCAUGCAGGGAGGGGGGACAGGCCGGGUCCCGCUGGACUGAGGGAGGAGAUAGGAAUCGAGGGGACAGGAGAGACAGGAGAACGAGGGGACAGGAGAGAGGAGAACGAGGGCGGAG